GAAAGGCCAACAUAAUAAUGUUUUAUUGAUCUAGGAACUCUGGCACUGAAAGCGUGAACAACCCAAGGUAACGAUGUCGUCACCAAGGGACGAGCAUAGAGCCCAAAUCCCUUGACUCCUAGGCUGAUGUUUUCCACUAAUUGUGUUCCUUUCUACUCAUACGAGAGCUUCAAGUGUGAAGUGCUGGGGAAGGCAGAAGACCUAUUAUGAGCCAAAUCGAGGUGGGGGGGUGCUCUGAAGGUCUUCAGCAGUCGCGGUUGACACUCUUCUUUGUUUUGGCUGAGCAAGAUGAAAGCGGCAACCACAGACCCCAGGGACCAAGAACUGGAACUAGGUACCGCCUGUUGUGGUAACUCUUCUUUUCUUCAGUCGGGGCCUGCCCUUUCUCAUCUCUUCCUUCUAGUCAAGCUCUAACGCUCUCCCUCCGACUCCAUCGGUCCCUAUCUUCCCUCCUUCACCCCCUUUGCACACAACUGCUUUGUAUCUUCGUUGGACGGGGACCUCCUGGUGCUCCCUCCAGCUUUAGCAGGGAUUCCAGGCGCCUGGUGGUGUUCUCUAGAGCCAUGGGCUAGUUAGCAUUGUAACACGCGAUUCAGUUGAGAAACUACGGUGGGAGCCAGGGCAAACGCGCGUGUCGAGUGGGCGUUGGGGUUCCUCAGGACAAAGCACAAUUAGACAAU
ensembl:lincRNA Gm29541 predicted gene 29541